GACGAACGCUGGCGGCGUGCUUAACACAUGCAAGUCGAACGGAAAGGCCCUGCUUUUGUGGGGUGCUCGAGUGGCGAACGGGUGAGUAACACGUGAGUAACCUGCCCUUGACUUUGGGAUAACUUCAGGAAACUGGGGCUAAUACCGGAUAGGAGCUCCUGCUGCAUGGUGGGGGUUGGAAAGUUUCGGCGGUUGGGGAUGGACUCGCGGCUUAUCAGCUUGUUGGUGGGGUAGUGGCUUACCAAGGCUUUGACGGGUAGCCGGCCUGAGAGGGUGACCGGCCACAUUGGGACUGAGAUACGGCCCAGACGCCUACGGGCGGCAGCAGUGGGGAAUAUUGCACAAUGGGCGGAAGCCUGAUGCAGCAACGCCGCGUGCGGGAUGCCGGCCUUCGGGUUGUAAACCGCUUUCGCCGGUGACGAAGCGUGAGUGACGGUAAUGGGUAAAGAAGCACCGGCUAACUACGUG
rnacentral:rRNA from 1 species